CUGCUCACUUUGGCAGCACAUAUACUAAAAUUGGAAUAAUACAGAGAUUAACAUGGCCCCUGCACAAGGAUGUUACUCAAAUUUGUGAAGCAUCCCAUAUUUUU
rnacentral:snRNA from 1 species